UACGUAGGGUGCGAGCGUUGUCCGGAAUUAUUGGGCGUAAAGGGCGCGUAGGCGGCCAUGCGUGUCUUCCGUGAAAUCCCUCGGCUUAACUGAGGACGUGCGGAAGAAACUGCAAGGCUCGAGUCCGGGAGAGGGGGGUGGAAUUCCCAGUGUAGCGGUGAAAUGCGUAGAUAUUGGGAGGAACACCAGUGGCGAAGGCGGUUGCCUGGGGCUGUGCUGACGCUGAUGCGCGAAAGCGUGGGGAGCGAUCCGG
rnacentral:rRNA from 1 species